UCCUUGUAGGUCCAUACUUUGAACCUCUUCACCAUCUCAAUAUGACUCCUGAGCUUAUGCACAGACAAAAACGGAAAUUAUUAGUAACAUCACACAUCU